rnacentral:rRNA from 1 species
GUUGGUGGGGUAACGGCCUACCAAGGCGACGAUCAGUAGCCGGCCUGAGAGGGUGACCGGCCACAUUGGGACUGAGACACGGCCCAAACUCCUACGGGAGGCAGCAGUGGGGAAUAUUGCACAAUGGGGGAAACCCUGAUGCAGCGACGCCGCGUGAGUGAAGAAGUAUUUCGGUAUGUAAAGCUCUAUCAGCAGGGAAGAAGCAAGACGGUACCUGACUAAGAAGCCCCGGCUAACUACGUGCCAGCAGCCGCGGUAAUACGUAGGGGGCAAGCGUUAUCCGGAUUUACUGGGUGUAAAGGGAGCGUAGACGGUAUGGCAAGUCUGAAGUGAAAGCCCAGGGCUUAACCCUGGGACUGCUUUGGAAACUGUUAGACUAGAGUGCUGGAGAGGUAAGUGGAAUUCCUAGUGUAGCGGUGAAAUGCGUAGAUAUUAGGAGGAACACCAGUGGCGAAGGCGGCUUACUGGACAGUAACUGACGUUGAGGCUCGAAAGCGUGGGGAGCAAACAGGAUUAGAUACCCUGGUAGUCCACGCUGUAAACGAUGAAUACUAGGUGUUGGCGGGCAAAGCCCGUCG